UAGUGAAAUUAGUGGACUAGGGUCCAGAAUCAAACAGCCCCGCUUGAAAGGGGCUUUUUGUUAUCCGUUUUGUCGUAUUUUAUAAACAUACUCUGGGCAUUAGCCCUUUUUUU
rfam:Paraglaciecola sp. S66 Contig18, whole genome shotgun sequence.